CAGAGAGAGAGAGGAAAAACGGAGAAGGGAAAAGAGGGAGGAGGAAGGAGACGGCGCUGACGGAGCUAGCAGCCACCGUCGCAAUUGAUGCUCGCAAAGAAGAGAGAGAGAGUGAGGGCGACCGAGCUGAGAAGAAGCAGAGAGUGAGAAGACGCGAAGAGGAGGAGCCGUCCCACACCGCCAUUGCAUCGCCGUCACUAUCACGCGAUGGAGGAGGAAGCCGUUGCCGUCGCCAUCGGGAAUAGCCUGGAGGAAGAGCCUGCACCAUCAACAAUGCCUCAUCUCUACCUCUCCUUCGCACUCACAUUUACCAGCGCCGUCCUGUUUUGCGUCGCCGUUCGGGUUCGUCAUCUCCUAUACGUCAUCAUCGGUUCCUACUCUGUCAUCCACGGUCGUCCUCGUCUGCGUCAUCGCUAUUCGUGCUCGUUUGCCAUCGCAUCCUUUGUGUCACCGUUCCUGCUCAUGCUGCUCCUCUGCUUCUGCUACCCUCGUCCCUGGUCCUCUGUCUCUGUUACCCUAGUUCAUCUCGGCCAUUCUCCUUCCUCCACGGUGGUGCAUCUCUGCUGCUCGUCCCUUGGUUGCUGGUUUUUUAUCUGCUGAUGGACCCUUGUCCCAUUACAAAACAAGCUUUAAUAAUUUCUUUGCAGCUUGAACAAAGUAAAUUUGAGGAGAAGAAGAAACUUGAAAAUUAGGAUUUUUUUCAGAAUCCAGAUAUGUGAAUUGGAAGAAUAAGGAGCAUACUUACCUAAGUUUUGUCGAUUGCCAAUCUAGAGCUUUUCAGGAAUUGAGAGCUAUAAUGAAGUCUGUCAAAAAUGAAGUGUUAAAAACAAAAAGAAGCUACUAAGAGGAUUUCAAGUACUUUGCAUGUGCUGAGCUUUCAAAUAUUUAAGUGGCUGAAACAAAAGUUUUUGAGCGUUGAGAAGAAAGAAUAGCAAUACCAGACACAAUCUAUCCUGGCAGAGUUUAAAUUGUAUUGCUCUCACGCCUAUGGAACAAUUUUGUUAAUAGUGUCUUCUUAGUGUUAGUGUAUAUAUCACUCUAUAAAACUAAGAUUGAGACAAGUGUAUUCUCUCAACUAUAUUGAUAUG